UACAGAGGUCUCAAGCGUUGUUCGGAUUCAUUGGGCGUAAAGGGUGUGUAGGUGGCGCGCUAAGUCGGGGUGUGAAAUUUCGGAGCUUAACUCCGAAACUGCAUUCGAUACUGGCGUGCUUGAGGACUGGAGAGGAGACUGGAAUUCAUGGUGUAGCAGUGAAAUGCGUAGAGAUCAUGAGGAAGACCAGUGGCGAAGGGCGGGGUCUCUGGACAGUUCCUGACACUGAGACACGAAGGCCAGGGGAGCAAACGGGG
rnacentral:rRNA from 1 species